AUGAUUCGUGGGACGUCCUGCCGGUGGUGGCGAGUCGAAGGAGUGCACCCGUUGUGGUUUAUCCACUUCGGUUCUUGCGCGCCGGAGGCGGACCCCGAUGAAAUCCUACCGCGGUGCUCUUAACCGAGUGUCGAGGUGGGCCGGCACGUUUACUUUGAACAAAUUAGAGUGCUUAAAGCAGGCCUGUUGCGCCUGAAUACUGUGUGCAUGGAAUAAUGGAAUAGGACCUCGGUUCUAUUUUGUUGGUUUUCGGAACCCGAGGUAAUGAUUAAUAGGGACAGGCGGGGGCAUUCGUAUUGCGACGUUAGAGGUGAAAUUCUUGGAUCGUCGCAAGACGGACCGAAGCGAAAGCAUUUGCCAAGUAUGUUUUCAUUAAUCAAGAACGAAAGUUAGAGGUUCGAAGGCGAUCAGAUACCGCCCUAGUUCUAACCAUAAACGAUGCCAGCUAGCGAUCCGCCGAAGUUCCUCCGAUGACUCGGCGGGCAGCUCCCGGGAAACCAAAGCUUUUGGGUUCCGGGGGAAGUAUGGUUGCAAGCUGAAACUUAAAGGAAUUGACGGAAGG
rnacentral:rRNA from 1 species